rnacentral:rRNA from 1 species
UGGGGAAUUUUGGACAAUGGGCGAAAGCCUGAUCCAGCAAUGCCGCGUGUGUGAAGAAGGCCUUCGGGUUGUAAAGCACUUUUGUCCGGAAAGAAAUCCUUGGCUCUAAUACAGUCGGGGGAUGACGGUACCGGAAGAAUAAGCACCGGCUAACUACGUGCCAGCAGCCGCGGUAAUACGUAGGGUGCAAGCGUUAAUCGGAAUUACUGGGCGUAAAGCGUGCGCAGGCGGUUUGCUAAGACCGAUGUGAAAUCCCCGGGCUCAACCUGGGAACUGCAUUGGUGACUGGCAGGCUAGAGUAUGGCAGAGGGGGGUAGAAUUCCACGUGUAGCAGUGAAAAUGCGUAGAGAUGUGGAGGAAUACCGAUGGCGAAGGCAGCCCCCUGGGCCAAUACUGACGCUCAUGCACGAAAGCGUGGGGAGCAAAACAGGAUUAGAUACCCUGGUAGUCCACGCCCUAAAACGAUGUCAACUAGUUGUUGGGGGAUUCAUUUCCUUAGUAACGUAGCUAACGCGUGAAGUUGACCGCCUGGGGAGUACGGUCGCAAGAUUAAAAACUUAAAUGAAUUGACGGGGUCAUAGCUGUUUCCU